CCGGCUCCUAGAGGCAUCGCAGGUGUGACUGCUGUGUCACACGUAGGCCAGUAGGUGGCAGAGAUGAGAGAGGCUCUGUCUAUGCUCAGUGUUCUGACCUGUGAACACCUGAAUAGUAGCCUAACAAU